rnacentral:rRNA from 1 species
GACAGAGGUGCCAAGCGUUAGGCGGAAUCAUUGGGCGUAAAGCGCGUGUAGGCGGCUCGAUAAGUCUGCUGUGAAAGUUCAGGGCUCAACCCUGAAAUGCCGGUGGAAACUGUCGAGCUAGAGUCCGGAAGAGGUGAGUGGAAUUCCUGGUGUAGCGGUGAAAUGCGCAGAUAUCAGGAGGAACACCAAUGGCGAAGGCAGCUCACUGGGACGGUACUGACGCUGAGACGCGAAAGCGUGGGGAGCAAACAGG